GAUGAGCGCUGGCGGCGUGCCUAAUACAUGCAAGUCGAGCGAACGGACGAGAAGCUUGCUUCUCUGAUGUUAGCGGCGGACGGGUGAGUAACACGUGGAUAACCUACCUAUAAGACUGGGAUAACUUCGGGAAACCGGGGCUAAUACCGGAUAAUAUUUUGAACCGCAUGGUUCAAAAGUGAAAGACGGUCUUGCUGUCACUUAUAGAUGGAUCCGCGCUGCAUUAGCUAGUUGGUAAGGUAACGGCUUACCAAGGCAACGAUGCAUAGCCGACCUGAGAGGGUGAUCGGCCACACUGGAACUGAGACACGGUCCAGACUCCUACGGGAGGCAGCAGUAGGGAAUCUUCCGCAAUGGGCGAAAGCCUGACGGAGCAAUGCCGCGUGAGUGAUGAAGGUCUUCGGAUCGUAAAACUCUGUUAUUAGGGAAGAACAUAUGUGUAAGUAACUGUGCACAUCUUGACGGUACCUAAUCAGAAAGCCACGGCUAACUACGUG
rnacentral:rRNA from 1 species